rnacentral:tRNA from 1 species
ACUACAAGAGGCGCGCAAGAAUCAAAAUUGGUCUCGCAGCGCGUAUCUGCUUCGGUCAACA